rnacentral:rRNA from 1 species
UACGGGGGGGGCAAGCGUUGUUCGGAAUUACUGGGCGUAAAGGGCUCGUAGGCGGCCAACUAAGUCAGACGUGAAAUCCCCAGGCUCAACCUGGGAACUGCGUCUGAUACUGGAUGGCUUGAAUUCGGGAGAGGGAUGCAGAAUUCCAGGUGUAGCGGUGAAAUGCGUAGAUAUCGGAAGGAACAUCAGUGGCGAAAGCGGCUUCCUGGACCAGUACCGACGUUCAGGCACGAAAGCGUGGGGAGCAAACAGG